GAUGAACGCUGGCGGCGUGCCUAACGCAUGCAAGUCGAACGAGGCCCUUUGUAUUCGUACGAAGGUGUCCUAGUGGCGAACGGGUGAGUAACACGUAGGUGACCUGCCCUGAAGAGGGGAAUAACCCCUGGAAACGGGGGCUAAUACCCCAUGAACUCCUUGGAGUUAGAGGUCCUUGGAGAAAAGGAGCAAUCCGCUUCAGGAGGGGCCUGCGGCCCAUCAGCUAGUUGGUAGGUAACGGCCUACCAAGGCGAUGACGGGUAGGGGGCCUGAGAGGGUGGUCCCCCACAAUGGCACUGAAACACGGGCCAUACGUCUACGGACGGCAGCAGUGGGGAAUAUUGCACAAUGGACGAAAGUCUGAUGCAGCAACGCCGCGUGCGCGAUGAAGGCCUUCGGGUUGUAAAGCGCUUUUCUGGGGGAAGAGGAAGGACGGUACCCCAGGAAUAAGUCUCGGCUAACUACGUG
rnacentral:rRNA from 1 species